UCCGUAGCUUGAUAUGCAAGUCUCUUGAGAAAUCCGUCGGCUUAACUGGCGGGCGUUCAGGGGAAACUGCAUUUCUAGGGACCGGGAGAGGUGAGAGGUACUGCCGGGGUAGGAGUGAAAUCCUGUAAUCCCGGUGGGACCGACCUAUAGCGAAGGCAUCUCACCAGAACAGGUCCGACAGUGAGGGACGAAAGACUGGGGGAGGCAAAACCG
rnacentral:rRNA from 1 species